ACUCAAAUGAAUUGACGGGGACCCGCACAACCAGUGGAGCGUGUGGUUCAAUUUGAGACGAAGCAAAAAACCUCACCAGGGAUUGACAUGUAUUCGUUUAGUCCCGAUGAAAGUUGGGAUGAUCCCGCGAAAGCGGGAUGAUUACACAGGUGUUGCAUGGCUGUCGUCAGCUCGUGCCGUGAGGUGUUCCCUUAAGUGGGGAAACGAGUGCAACCCCCAUUCUAUGUUAAAUAUUCAUAGAAGACUGCCCCUGCAUUGCAGGGGAGGAAGGAGGGGCAGAUGUCAAGUCAGCAUGACCCUUAUACCCUGGGCCACACACACCCUACAAUGGCGAAAAACAACGGGUUGCAAACCGGUAACGGCAAGCUAAUCCCUCAAAUUUCGCCUCAGUUCAGAUUGGGGUCUGAAACCCGACCCCAUGAAGUCGGAAUUGGUAGUAAUCGCGGAUCAGCAGGCCGCGGUGAAUACGUUCUCGGGUCUUGUACACACCGCCCGU
rnacentral:rRNA from 1 species